rnacentral:rRNA from 1 species
CAAUAGCGUAUAUUAAUGUUGUUGCAGUUAAAAAGCUCGUAGUUGGAUUUCUGACGGGAGCCCUGGUCACUUUAACGAGUGUACUGAGGUGGCGUCCUGUCGUUUCAUGGGGAUGCUUGCUGGUAUUAAGUUAUCGGCUUGUGGAUCCAUGUCGUUUACUGUGAAAAAAUUAGAGUGUUCAAAGCAGGCCAUCGCUGUGAAUACAUUAGCAUGGAAUAAUAAGAUAGGACUGUGGUGCUAUUUUGUUGGUUUGCGUACUACGGUAAUGAUUAAUAGGGAUAGUUGGGGGUAUUCAUAUUCAAUUGUCAGAGGUGAAAUUCUUGGAUUUAUGGAAGAUGAACUACUGCGAAAGCAUUUACCAAGGAUGUUUUCAUUAA